UUUGUACGGCCACUUAAUGAGUUUGUAUCACUGUGGUACACUUUUGGUGGAGGAACCAAACUCAUCAUUAACUCUGGCACCAUGGUCAGGCCCUCAGUCUCUCUGCUUCCCCCCUCCUCUGAGCAGCUCUCUGGGGGCUCGGCCACGCUGGCCUGCCUGCUGACCGGCUACUCUCCUCAGGGAGCCGUGGUGAGCUGGCAGGUGGACGGUACGGAGGUGACGGAGGGGGUCCUGAGCAGCUCAGAGGAGGAGAAGAGCGGCCGCUACAGCAGCAGCAGCACCCUGAGCCUGAGCCAGGAGCGCUGGAUGGAAGGAGAGCUGUACUCCUGCAGGGUCCUCCAUCAGGGCCACAGCCAGACCCAGUCCCUCCACAGGAGCCAGUGUAAGGGCUAGAGGGGCCGGCUGAAGCCCAGGACAGGAGCUCUGUGUGGGGGGGAGCAGCUCUGAUCAAUAGCAGUUUGAAUGCUUGUAGAGGAAACUGAAGCUUUGUGUGACAGAGAACAACACUGCUGUAAAGUGUUGGACAACAACAACUUAGAGAGGAAUGUGUGUCGCUCAGC